rnacentral:lncRNA from 1 species
GGGAUAGAGCAGUGUUAGGAUAACUGACUUUUUUGUUGUUCUCUGGGUGCAUUCUUCCCGCUCCCCCUCUCUCUCCCCCUCACCCUCUCUCUCUCUCUUUCUCCUCUCUCUCUCCCUCUCCCUCUCUCUCUCUCUUUUAAAAAAUCAGCCAUUUGGGGUUUUAAGCCAUAAACGAUUUUUCUUGUUGCAGGGGAUUGCAGAGGCAAAGCUAGACUAGGUCUUGGAAGCUGGUGUAAGGCGGUGCGCGGAAGGCAGGACGCUGAUGGGAGAGACUGGUCGAAGAAAAGCCGAAAUGGAUUCUCCGUGCCUUGGAUGGAGAAAGAGGGGGGAAGUGCGAGCUCCUUCAACUCGUUCUGUCCGGUGAGGAGUGAUCCAGCUUGGGCUGACGAGAGGCUCCGGAGCCUUCACGUUCAGUGCUUUUUACCUGCCAAUCAAACUGCUACAAGACAACACCCUGAUCUGGCAUGGUCGCGCGCCGCGGGUCCAAGCCUGUAGUCCCAAAUCGGAAAAUCUCUGCAGCUGGUACACGCAAAAGAGAAGCCAGGCAACAGACAUAUUACAGAAGAAAGCUCUCGACUCCGAGAUCGAACCUAGAAAUUGUACUCUCCUCAAUCCGCUUAAGAGAAUCUGGCUGAUGGCUUUGGUCUGAGAGUUCAGACAUCUCUUGUGCAGCUAAGAAAGACCUCAUUUUCCAUUUGCUGGAUCCUCCUGGUUUGUCAUCCCUGAAUCCUGUAAGAAGGUCAUCAGGAGGUCCCCUGCGCUAGAAGGACCAUGUGAGUUCAUCCCAGAUGAUGGGUGGCACCAUGGUUU